GCUGGGCGUGGUGGCGGGCACCUGUAAUCCCAGCUACUUGGGAGGCUGAGGCAGGAGAAUUGCUUGAGCCUGGGAGGCGGAGGUUGCAGUGAGCUGAGAUUGCGCCACUGCACUCCAGCCUGGGCAACCAAGCAAGACUCUGUCUCAA
ensembl:misc_RNA Metazoa_SRP Metazoan signal recognition particle RNA